ensembl:snoRNA U3 Small nucleolar RNA U3
AAGUCUACGCUUUCAGGAGCCAUUUCUAUAAUAUAUAAUUAAGACAUGUAUAUCAAAGUAUUGUUUUCUAACCACAAUGAAGAGUUUCGAUGCUGUUUUCUGAGCGUGCCUCAGGUGGGAAAUAAUGAAUUUAUCCAUAAACUCUUUGUCAUUGAUGUACGAUCCUCAUUGUUUACAAUAAAGAAGAAAAGAGUGUGACCCGAAUGGC